CUGACUCCAAUGGAGCGACAGCACUGCACUACGCAGCUCAGAAUAAUUUCAGUGAUACUGUUUCAGUGUUCUUGAAACACAACUGUACAGAUGAAGCGGAUCUAGAAGGACGUACUGCUUUCAUGUGGGCCGCUGGUAAGGGUGCCGAUGAUGUCAUCCGAGUUUUCCUAGAACACAAAGUUGACAUACACCAAGAGGACAAAACUGGUGGAACAUCACUUCAUGCUGCAGCAUUGUCUGGUCACAGUUCUACAGUUAAACUCUUGCUGGACCA
rnacentral:sRNA from 1 species